GAGAGGUGUAGUGUAAUGGUAACACGGAUGACUCUAGAUCAUCUUAUUGUGGGUUCGAGUCCUACCACCUCCGCA
rnacentral:tRNA from 1 species